ACUCAAAUGAAUUGACGGGGGCCCGCACAAGCGGCGGAGCAUGCGGAUUAAUUCGAUGCAACGCGAAGAACCUUACCAAGGCUUGACAUGCACUGGAAGCGCUCAGAGAUGGGUGUGCCGUAAGGCUGGUGUACAGGUGGUGCAUGGUUGUCGUCAGCUCGUGUCGUGAGAUGUUGGGUUAAGUCCCGCAACGAGCGCAACCCUUGUCUCAUGUUGCCAGCGGGUUAUGCCGGGGACUCAUGGGAGACUGCCGGGGUCAACUCGGAGGAAGGUGGGGAUGACGUCAAAUCAUCAUGCCCCUUAUGUCUUGGGCUUCACGCAUGCUACAAUGGCCGGUACAAAGGGUUGCGAUCCUGUGAGGGGGAGCGAAUCCCAAAAAGCCGGUCUCAGUUCGGAUUGGGGUCUGCAACUCGACCCCAUGAAGUCGGAGUCGCUAGUAAUCGCAGAUCAGCAACGCUGCGGUGAAUACGUUCUCGGGCCUUGUACACACCGCCCGU
rnacentral:rRNA from 1 species